ensembl:lncRNA
AAAUAAUUUAAAUGGGUAUAUGCCUGUAGCAUGUACCUCUCUGAUUAUGAAAUCCUUGGAGAGGAUUGUGAAAGAUGUGCUGUUGAACAUAAAACAGGCAAAUCUAGAUUCAGUUUGCCUGCAGGGCUGGCAGGGUUGUUGAUGAUGCAAUGAGUGCUCUAUUAAAUAUGAUUUUAGCACAUCUUGAAGGUGCAAAGACUUUUGUGUGGUUAGUUCUUAUUGGUUUUUCAUCAGCUUUUAACUGUAUGCAGCCUCAUAUCGCAGCAGAAAGGCUAGAGAGUGAAGAUUGAUCCUGGUGUGAUAUGUUGGCUGAUGGAUUUUUUUAACUGAAAGCUCUCAACAUAUGAAGGUGGUUUUAUCUGAUGCAUUCAUUUCUACCAGGACGGUGUGUUCUUUUAUUUGUGUUUUAUACAACAGCCUGUCCCAGAUUGUCCAGCAGCCCACAGGGAAAUCUCCUGGUGGAUCUCCAGAGGACCAGUCUGCCCCUGAUCUGAGCUAACUUAAAGCCUGAUUCAAUAUUGAAAACCCAAGGAAAACAAAAGGAAAAAAAUAUGUGACUGGAAACCACUGGGCUAGACAGUUGUCUGAAUUUUAUAUUUAACUUGUUUAAGCAACAAGCUAAAUUUCAAAAUUUAUUUCAAAAUGCCUGUUGCACAUAACCCCUAUUGCCAUGUUUAGGUGAUCCCUUUAAUACAUAAUUAAAAUAGUUUAAAGUAAUUGUAAAGCAAAGACAGAUUUUCUCUACAGUAGAUGAAUGGCCGCUUGUGUUUAUGGGUUGUAGAGGUAAUACAUUAAGUCUCAGUGGGGUCCUGUGCACUGAUGAAAUCUACUAAUUUGAUUAGGCAGUGAAGACAGUGAUGCCAUCUGGACCUGUCUUUCCUAUGUCAAGCGACUCCAAAAAUAGACAUGUCAGUCACUAUUUAAAAUGACACAAUCCGGAACGCAAACCAGCAAUGAGAGAAAGCAUUUGCUAACAAGGCUUAGAAUGAGUCUGGCACCUGUUUUAAACAGCUACACCAGACCUGCAUCAGCUGCCGUCACACAUAUCACCUAGAGAUUAUCAUCAACUUGCCCUUCUCUGAUGCAUAACCUUCUUUUUUUUAAUGCAAUUGUCCCAAACAUGUUCCUGGAGUCUCCCCAGCAGAGCACAUGUCUGCCUAAUCAAACACAACUGAUCAGCUCAUUAGUAUAGACCAGUGGUUCCCAAAUCUGUUCCCACCCCACCUCCUCCAUAUUUUGUAUGUCCUUCUGUAACACAUGCAAUUCAGAUCAUCGGCUCAUUAGGGAAGAGCUCUAUAAUUGAACUGAGCUUUGUUACGAUUGAGAGGGUCCCUGCAUAGGAUUUACUGUUCCCUAUUCCCUGAGCACAUUACUGGGACCUUAACCUGACACAGUGCAUUCGAUUGGAACACCCUCAUCAUACAGAAAAACUUCAAUACAUUAGAGAAGCUUAUGUUAUGCAGAUUCUCCAACUGUCAGUUCCACUUUGGAUAUUU